AGCAAGCAAUAUCACCGUCAGUCAAGCAAUUUUGUAUUACUAUUCAUUCACGAAAAGCCGUUGUUAUACUCCUGACUUUUGCAAGACCCAAAAUAGUAAAGAUUAGCUUCAUCGCUAUUGCAGGAAUUCACCCAAAAGUUUCGAAGGUGGAUCAUCUCAGCAUAUUAGACAAAACCAGCAUUAGUAACAGAGAACAACAAUAGGUAAAAUGUAGUGUAGUGGGCAGUACCACACCUUCAACUUCUAACAUUACAAGUAUUUGGCUAUACUGGUCCUUCAAGGCUUCAACUUCUAACAUUCAGUAUUGGGCUACCAUGAUUGAUAAUGAAUAGAUUGGAAGUUUCGUCGGGAAAAAAAAACUAUAAUUACCAAGUAUUUGGCUAUGCUGGUCCUUACUUCUAACAUUACAAUUAUUUGGCCAUACUGGUCUGAAUAGAGCCUAAAAGAAAAGUGGCCAUAUGGCGGACUCAUGGAGUAGGAAAGCAAAAAAUGAUCUGGUUUCUAGCUCAUAUACAUACUUUUUAGAAAUGUAUGAACUUAACUAGUCACUAACAAAUGGAAUUUCAUCAAAUUUAUGCAUUACAAGCCAGAAGCAAGGGAUCAUGUAUCCUCUUAUUAAAUGAUACUUCUUUUGGUGGCCAUGUUAUUAGUCAGUGGCGGAGGACGAAACUUUUUUGAGGUGGGGCGGCCUCUCCAGCAUAAAUUGUUUGUUUGAUGCAAAACCAAAAUGACUAUGCCAUGACUGCAUUUUUCUUUCAAUUAUCAUACCCCACUUUGAGGAGAACCUCGUAACCAAAUUGAACGUGCAUUCGGCCAGGUUAAUAAAGAAAUCAAUCGAAGCAAUAAGCUUUAUUCAUCACAAAAAAUGCCACCAAUCAUAAAACUGUAGUUGUAGAUUCUCAAUUCAUUAUCUGAAGAAAAUGAUACUAUAAAAAUUUAAAACAAAAUGACCUCUACUCAUAGUCUUUGCUAGCGCUUUUCCUUUCCUAUUCGUCAUCUCCUUCUGGCCGCCGGCCUCACGCUCGCAGCGCGCUCUUGCUGGCUGCCGGAAAUGCAAAUGCGAGACCACAUCCCGGUGCACUCUGUUGAUUGUUUUUUUUUUGAAAGUCAUUCUGUUGAUUGUUGGCCUCACAAGUCACAUGCGUGCUGGCCACUCCUGCUGGCUGCAGCGAACGUGCGCCGCUCGUUCCAUGGAGUGGAUGAACGUAGUACUGGAUGAGAUUCGAGCGAUGCUGGGUUCUGGACCUGCUAGAGUGCUGGUUGCUACGGCCCAAUAAUCUGUCCAGGUGAGUGCCAAGUUCCAUCAUGGCCCAAAAAGGUUUCACGGUGGUUUUCAAACGGCUUUAUUUUUAAGGAUGGAUCAGUCUGUAUGUAUGUAUACGUAUAAAACAGAAUCACCAAAAAUCAAGGUAGGACGAGCGCCCAACCUCGCCCUACCGGGAGCUCCGCCCCUGUUAUUAGUAACUAAAGCAGUUUUUAUAAUGAAUCUAAUAAUGUAAUUUUGAUCUUGUGUUCGAUAUUAAGCACUCGCUCUGAUGCAAAAAAAAAAAAAAAAAAGUGUCGUGGCUUUA